rnacentral:ncRNA from 1 species
GGUCAUGAGCGUCAGCGUCAAGCCCUGGCUUGCUGACCGGCAACCCUCCCCACGCGGCGGGGUGCCCCAGGUGAGGACCGGACCGAACUGUCGGUAAGCGCGAUGC